rnacentral:rRNA from 1 species
AGAGUUUGAUUCUGGCUCAGAGUGAACGCUGGCGGCGUGGCUAAGACAUGCAAGUCGGGCGGUUGUGCGCCUUCGGGUGUACAAUAGCGGCAAACGGGUGAGUAACACGUAAGUAACCUGCCCUUAAGACUGGGAUAGCCCAGCGAAAGUUGGGGUAAUACCGGAUGAGGACCUUUAGCGCAUGUUAAGGGAUCGAAAGGUAUGUAAAGACGCUUAAGGAGGGGCUUGCGGCCUAUCAGCUAGUUGGUGGUGUAACGGACCCCCAAGGCGAAGACGGGUAGCCGGUCUGAGAGGACGAACGGCCACAUUGGAACUGAGACACGGUCCAGACAUCUACGGAUGGCAGCAGUUUCGAAUUAUUCACAAUGGGCGAAAGCCUGAUGGUGCGACGUCGCGUGGAGGAAGAAAGGGUCUUUGGAUUGUAAACUCCUGCCAUUAGGGAGCAAAGUGCAAGUGCAGAGCUUGUUUUGAGUUAACCUAAAGAGGAAGCAGUGGCAAACUCCGUGCCAGCAGCUGC